AUUGAACGCUGGCGGCAGGCUUAACACAUGCAAGUCGAACGAGUGGCGGACGGGUGAGUAAUGCUUGGGAAUCUGGCUUAUGGAGGGGGAUAACUACGGGAAACUGUAGCUAAUACCGCGUACCAUAGGAUGAGCCCAAGUGGGAUUAGGUAGUUGGUGGGGUAAUGGCCUACCAAGCCGACGAUCUCUAGCUGGUCUGAGAGGAUGACCAGCCACACUGGGACUGAGACACGGCCCAGACUCCUACGGGAGGCAGCAGUGGGGAAUAUUGCGCAAUGGGGGCAACCUGACGCAGCCAUGCCGCGUGAAUGAAGAAGGCCUUCGGGUUGUAAAGUUCUUUCGGUGGCGAGGCGUUAACUACAGAAGAAGCACCGGCUAACUCCGUGCCAGCAGCCGCGGUAAUAC
rnacentral:rRNA from 1 species